rnacentral:rRNA from 1 species
CAGCAGCAGCCGCGGUAAUACAGAGGGUGCGAGCGUUAAUCGGAUUUACUGGGCGUAAAGCGUGCGUAGGCGGCUUUUUAAGUCGGAUGUGAAAUCCCUGAGCUUAACUUAGGAAUUGCAUUCGAUACUGGGAAGCUAGAGUAUGGGAGAGGAUGGUAGAAUUCCAGGUGUAGCGGUGAAAUGCGUAGAGAUCUGGAGGAAUACCGAUGGCGAAGGCAGCCAUCUGGCCUAAUACUGACGCUGAGGUACGAAAGCAUGGGGAGCAAACAGGAUUAGAUACCCCUGUAGUCCCUGUCUCUUAUAC